CCCUGAAACCGCCACUCUUCCUCAUAAGCAAAGCAGAAGCAGCAAAUUCUCCAUAACAAUUUCACAAACAUGGCUUCUGUACAAGAGACACUAGGCGACCUCAACAGGGACUCCUUCGUGGGCCUCCUUUCGAAGCUCAUUGGCGAGUCGAAGUUCGUGCAGAACAACCCACCAGAACUCAUUCCCGAGGAGGACCGAGUUGUGAAGCACGUCCUCGAUUCUCUUCUCCCUUACAGCACCACCACUGGUGGUGGACCCCUCCUCAUCAACCAUGUCACUUAUUUCCCCGGUAGAGGAAACGUCGUCGUUGAGUAUCCCGGAACGGUGCCGGGAAAAAUCUUGUCUUUUGUGGGUUGUCAUAUGGAUGUCGUCACCGCAAAUCCUAAUGAUUGGGAAUUCGAUCCUUUCUCAUUGAGCAUUGAUGGGGAUAAACUUUGUGGCCGUGGAACUACUGAUUGCUUGGGCCAUGUUGCACUUGUAACUGAGCUCAUGAAGAAGCUGGGGGAAACAAAACCAAAACUGAAGUCAACUGUGGUUGCCGUAUUUAUAGCAAAUGAAGAGAACUCUGCCAUAUCAGGGGUUGGUGUGGAUGCAUUGGUGAAAGAUGGACUACUCAAUAAAUUGAAGGAUGGUCCUUUGUUUUGGAUUGACACAGCUGAUAAACACCCUUGCAUUGGUACUGGUGGUAUGAUACCUGGGAAGCUUAAAGUGACUGGGAAGCUUUUUCACAGUGGUUUAGCACAUAAGGCUAUCAACGCGCUAGAGCUAGCCAUGGAAGCACUCAAAGAGAUCCAGUUGCGCUUUUAUAGAGACUUCCCUCCCCAUCCUAAGGAGCAAGUCUAUGGAUUUGCAACACCUUCAACAAUGAAACCAACUCAGUGGAGUUACCCAGGUGGUGGGAUCAAUCAAAUUCCAGGUGAAUGUACAGUUUCAGGGGAUGUCAGGCUAACUCCCUUCUACAAUGUUAAGGAUGUCAUGAAAAAGUUACAAGAAUAUGUGGAUGAUAUUAAUGAGAACAUAGAAAAGCUUGACACACGGGGUCCAGUUUCAAAGUAUGUUCUACCAGAUGAAAAACUAAGGGGAAGCCUUGCAAUAAGCUUUGAUGAGGCAACGUCUGGAGUUGCUUGUGAUCUCAACUCUCGUGGAUUCCACGUACUGUGUAAAGCAACUGAAGAGGUAGUUGGGCAUGUAAAGCCAUACUCGAUUACUGGAACUUUACCACUCAUUCGAGAAUUGCAGGAAGAAGGUUUUGAUGUUCAAACUUCUGGCUAUGUUGCAAAGUUGUGAUGGUGGUGGCCUGACAAUGAACUGAAGGAGUCUUUCUUUUGGUUUGGCUAUUUCAAAUUUUGUUAAUAGAAUGCUUGAGUGGUUGCUUAAGGUUUGAUGGCUACAUACCAUGCGAAGAACGAGUACUGCCUUUUUACUGAUAUGUCGCAAGGCUACCGUGUCUUUGUCAGCAUUAUCUCUCAAUUAGAAGAUUGAAAGAACGGAAAGCAUUUCGCUAAUGGUAACAAUAAGGUAUAAUUUCUGGCAUUCAUGGUUUAAUGAUGGUAUAAACUCAGGCUCAUUUGAAGGGUUAUGCAGUGAAAUUUUCAGUUUCCAAUUUCAUUGUCCCCAGUCUCUUUCACAUUUACAUAUGUUAUGCCUGUUAUUUGGCUUCUCUAGCUUUUGACUCUUCUUAUGUUACAUCUAAUGGGGCUUUCCAUAUGAAAGGAUGGUUUUUUGUAAAUCGUGAGAUAACUAAAAAAUAAUAAUCACAAAAACAAAUACCUGUUGGGAAACACUA